AGCAGCCGCGGUAAUUCCAGCUCCAAUAGCGUAUAUUAAAGUUGUUGCAGUUAAAAAGCUCGUAGUUGAAUUUCGGGAUCAAUUAAUUGGUCGUGCCUCUGGUACGUACUGAUUUUAUUGGUUUCUCCCUUCUGACGAACCAUGAUGUCAUUAAUUUGAUGUCGUGGAGAAUCAGGACUGUUACUUUGAAAAAAUUAGAGUGUUUAAAGCAAGCUAACGCUUGAAUACAUUAGCAUGGAAUAAUGAAAUAGGACGUUUGAUCCUAUUUUGUUGGUUUCUAGGAUCGACGUAAUGAUUAAUAGGGAUAGUUGGGGGCAUUAGUAUUCAAUUGUCAGAGGUGAAAUUCUUGGAUUUAUUGAAGACUAACUACUGCGAAAGCAUUUGCCAAGGAUGUUUUCAUUAAUCAAGAACGAAAGUUAGGGGAUCGAAGACGAUCAGAUACCGUCGUAGUCUUAACCAUAAACUAUGCCGACUAGGGAUCGGAUGAUGUUAAUUUUUAAUGACUCAUUCGGU
rnacentral:rRNA from 1 species